AUUGAACGCUGGCGGCAGGCCUAACACAUGCAAGUCGAACGCGUGGCGGACGGGUGAGUAAUGUCUGGGAAACUGCCCGAUGGAGGGGGAUAACUACUGGAAACGGUAGCUAAUACCGCAUACCAUUGGAUGUGCCCAUAUGGGAUUAGCUAGUAGGUGGGGUAAAGGCUCCCCUAGGCGACGAUCCCUAGCUGGUCUGAGAGGAUGACCAGCCAAACUGGAACUGAGACACGGUCCAGACCCCUACGGGAGGCAGCAGGGGGGAAUAUUGCACAAUGGGCGCAAGCCUGAUGCAGCCAUGCCGCGUGUAUGAAGAAGGCCUUCGGGUUGUAAAGUACUUUCAGCGGGGAGGCGUUACCCGCAGAAGAAGCACCGGCUAACUCCGUGCCAGCAGCCGCGGUAAUUC
rnacentral:rRNA from 1 species